AGCGAACGCUGGCGGCAGGCCUAACACAUGCAAGUCGAACGAACCUUUCGGGGUUAGUGGCGGACGGGUGAGUAACCCGUGGGAACGUGCCCUUAGGUUCGGCAUAACUCAGGGAAACUUGUGCUAAUACCGAAUGUGCCCUUCGGGGGAAAGAUUUAUCGCCUUUAGAGCGGCCCGCGUCUGAUUAGCUAGUUGGUUGAGGUAAUGGCUCACCAAGGCGACGAUCAGUAGCUGGUCUGAGAGGCUGAUCCGCCACAUUGGGACUGAGACGCGGCCCAGACUCCUACGGGAGGCAGCAGUGGGGGAUCUUGCGCAAUGGGCGAAAGCCUGACGCAGCCAUGCCGCGUGAAUGAUGAAGUUCUUAGGAUUGUAAAAUUCUUUCACCGGGGACGAUAAUGACGGUACCCGGAGAAGAAGCCCCGGCUAACUUCGUG
rnacentral:rRNA from 1 species